rnacentral:lncRNA from 1 species
AGAGUAUGUUGCUCUCAAAAUACCUCCAGAGAUGGAUGGCUACUCAUUACAAAAGUGAUCAACCAAGAAAGGACAAAUAACCAGGUGGAAAGUAACUAAAUCAAAUUAUUCUUGUGGUUUGAUAUAAAAUGGUUAUGUCAGUUUCUUUUUUUGAUACUUUACUAAGACUGAAUCAUUUUAAUAGCAAAUGAUGGAUGAAAUAUAUUCAAAACCUCAGUAGCCUUAAAUAUGGGGGAUUUCAGUUUUUUUUAUUUUAUUCCAAAGGUUAAUUACUGUCAUGCGUUUCCAAAGUUCUUAGUUAUCUCUUUAAUGUCUGGCACUUGUUCAAAAGACCGUUCUUUAAUAAUUUUUCUAAAACAACCUUUCCUUCCAUCCACCUUUUUGGCAGUGUUGUGUCUUGUAGAUAUACUUUGUUAGAGAGUUGCAGAGGGACAUAGUAAAAUAGAAAUGACUUGAGUUUACCACACGUGAAAGAUUUUCUCAGUAUGCAUGAGUGUGUAUUACAUGUGUGCUGUGAAUUAGUAACAAAAUUUUAUUAUAAAAUAUUGACUACAAAAUUAUAGGCUGCUUCUCUCUGAUUGAGACUGGAACUAGAUAAGUCAAUCUCAUUUUUAAUUACUGUAUUAUAGAAUUAUUUCUGUGGGAGUAAAUGGGGCAGCAAUGAAAAUGUUGAAGGUCAUUUGUCCAGGAGAUCUUGACAACUGAUCAAAAGUGCUUUAUUCUUUGUUUUCUCUUGCCACACUAUCUUUAACAUCAAAAAGAGGAGAGAGCCUGUAAAAAAGUUGGACGAAGGUUUUAGUGAGAAGUUCUUUUGAAAUGUUUCUGCUGUGAUAUUUAUAUUUCUUGAUAAUAACUGCAAAUCUGUUUAAGAAUUUGCAAUGGAUUUUUUGUUUUGUUUUGUUUUUCUGAUAGAUAUUUGUGUUUUGCUCAAAUAAUGCUUGUCAAAUGCCUUCUGACUUCCAUUUGUUCAGGCUGAUGGAAGAUGAAUUUCAUGGGCAACGUUUGCCUAGCAAAGACACUGUAACAGCAGCUGUGAAACAAUGGGUCACUUCCACUGGUGCAGAUUUUUACAGGAGUGACAUGCAGGCUCUUUUUCAUCGCUGGUAAAAGUGUAUAGGUAAUGCUGGUGACUAUAUUGAAACAAAUUGUGUAGCUGAGAAUUUGCUCUAUCACAUAGUGGUACUGUGCUCUACAUUGAUUAUAGUUUCCAUGGAAACAAAUAGGAGGAAUUAGUUUUGGAGGAACAUACAUAUAUAGCUCUGAAUAUUUAGAUAUGUCAUGGUUUUAUGAUUUUUGGGCAUCGGUAUUCCACAUCAUAGCAUCAUGUAGUGCACUGGGAGUUGAAAAGUUAAUACUCCAGUUCCGGGCACCUGUUUGGAAGAGAAGAAGAACUACAUACCCCAGAGGACUUUGCGUUCAGAGAGUGAAUAUAAGCUUUCGUAGAUCACCGGACCUGCCCUUUUUUGGCUCUCUCUCAUCCCUGCUGCUCAAACCUCAGUGCUAUGGUGAGGUCUUCAGGUUUUUUUUUUUUUUUUUUCAGACACCCUCUUUCAUUAUAUUUGAUUUAUUAGCUCCAAUUCUAAUUACAUUGUAUUAUAUUGUACUAUAGUGUGUUAUCUUGAAUUCUGAUAUCUUAUUUAGUAAAUUAGAUUGUUUCUCCUCAGAUUGUUGCCACUGCUUUGUUUUAGGUCCCAUCUCUCCACUCUUUUUUCCUUAUCGCCUUCCAGGGUGCAAAUCUGUGGGUCUCUCUGCCGCACUAGUUACAGAACCAAGCCAAACCAGCCCAUAAACCAUUGACAAGGUAAUAUAAUUCCUAUCAAUUAGUUCACUUGUGAGUAUGUAAGCAUGACUCUGUUUAAAUUUUAAAAGCAAUUAUUUAGAUCUACACACCAGGAUAUUUUGAAGUAGAUAUACAUAAACAAGGGAGGUAAGUUUUCAAUGAAAGUUUCCAAUAUGGUUUUGACUUCAAGGACAGUUGUUUCCCCCAGGAAAUACAGAGGUCACUUCAAAAAAUUCAGCUAUCAUAAGCCAAUUUACAACUUCUUUUAUUGUUAUUGAUUUAUUUUACUUGUACACGUUAAUGGCAAAAAGUGAUUUAAGUAUCACAUUUAAAAAAAAUAUAUUACUAUUAUUAUUAUUACUUCUAGUUUUUCACUGUUUUGAAUACAGUAAUACAGUGCUUUAGACACAAGGGUUUGCUUUUAUUUUUAUUUAUUUAUUUAUUUAUUUAUUUUUCUUAAAGACAAACUGAUAUGUGGUUGGUUUGUAAGCAAUAAACAUGUGCUGU